rnacentral:rRNA from 1 species
AUUGAACGCUGGCGGCAGGCCUAACACAUGCCAGUCGAACGGUAACAGGAAGAGGCUUGCUUCUUUGCUGACGAGUGGCGGACGGGUGAGUAAUGUCUGGGAAACUGCCUGAUGGAGGGGGAUAACUACUGGAAACGGUAGCUAAUACCGCAUAACGUCGCAAGACCAAAGAGGGGGACCUUCGGGCCUCUUGCCAUCGGAUGUGCCCAGAUUGGAUUAGCUAGUAGGUGGGGUAACGGCUCACCUAGGCGACGAUCCGUAGCUGGUCUGAGAGGGUGACCGGCCACACUGGAACUGAGACACGGUCCAGACUCCUACGGGAGGCAGCAGUGGGGAAUAUUGCACAAUGGGCGCAAGCCUGACGCAGCCAUGCCGCGUGUGUGAAGAAGGUCUUCGGGUUGUAAAGUACUUUCAGCAGGGAAGAAGGGAGUAGAGUUAAUACCUUUGCUCAUUGACGGUACCCGCAGAAGAAGCACCGGCUAACUCCGUG